rnacentral:rRNA from 1 species
AUGUUAAAUCGUGGCGUUGCGGCGCACGGCAGCCACAAGAUGUGGGCGGGGAAAUCCUGGGGUGGUAGGAUGGAUAGAGCGCUGGCCAAUGGGGAGCUGGCGCCAUCGGAUUCUGCUGCGCCGGUGGACGCCGCGUGGACAAUAUCCUGGGCUUUCAUGCUCCUUGUGAUCUGUGGGGACUGCCUGCCAAUCGGACCGUGUCGUAGGAUCUCCGUAGAGAAUAGUGAAAGAAGAUCGAUCGAUCCAUUCACGGGCGUUAUAAUUGCCCGGUCAUACGAUGAUGAUCACCUUUGGAGAUGGCACGACACAUGGUACUAG